AACCAAUGAUGAAACUAGAUUCUGCCAGAUGAGAGCCCAUGAUAUUAACCUUCUACCGUUCCAUUUACUGAGGUU